GUCAUAAUAUAUAAAGUCUUGUUUGAGAAUGCUUCAAGUACCUAGAUGUGGAAGGUAGAAUAAAAAUUACAACAACAAAAUCCUAAUUCUGAUAGAAUACUAAUAAUACUAAAUAAGCUUUAAUCAAAUUCAAAGAAACUUCAAAAGAAUUCCAAAGAAACAAUAAGAAAUCUUAAAGAAAUAUUAGAAUGAUUACAAAUAUAUCUCAAAUACAUCUCAAUUCAAUCUUAAUUUAAUCCUAGUUGAAAUCUUAUUGGACUUCAUUCAAACUUUAGGCCAAAAACUAAUUAAAUCUUAAAUCUUAAACAAACUCAAAUAAAAUCUUAAACCAAAUCCUAAAUCCUAAAUCAAACCCUAACCAAAUUCUAAAUCCUAAAUCCUAAACCAAACCCUAAUCUUAAAUCCUAAAUCAAAUCCUAAUCCUAAAUCAAAUCCUAACCAAAUCCUAACCCUAAAUCAAACCCUAACCAAAUCCUAAUCCUAAAUCAAAUCCUAAUCAAAUCUUAAUCCUAAAUCAAAUCCUAACCAAAUCCUAACCAAACUCUAGUAAUUUCUAUAAUAAAAAUAAACCUCAAUAACUAAUGAAUGAACCAUUUAUCUUAAUUCAAAUUUUGCACACUUCUUAAAAAAUAACUUAAACAAGCACAAAAAUUUUAAAAAUGAUCGGAAUUACCAAGUAGAUGAUAACCUCAAAAAUGUGCUUGGGUAUUGGCUCGCCUCCUUCUCCAUCCUUGAUACCAAUCUCCCAAAGCCAAUAUCUCUCCUUUUCACCAUUCGAUUGAUCUCAAAAUUCUUAUACACAUAGAAAAACAAGUCUAAUAUCCUCUCACAUAAAUUUCACUCCAAUCCAACUAGUAGAUUGCAAGAAA
rnacentral:lncRNA from 1 species